GUUUCACGUCUCUAUGCUUCGUAAGUGCAUCGGUGACCCUUCCAGAAUAUUCCCUGCAGAUGAUAUUCAGGUGACGGAGCAGUUAUCAUACGAGGAGCAGCCCGUGUCUAUUUUGGAUCGUCAGGUAAGGAGGCUCCGGAAUAAAGAUGUAGCCUCCGUUAAGGUACUGUGGCGGAACGAUAAUAGGGAGGAAAUGACGUGGGAGGCCGAAGAGGAGAUGAAGAAGAAAUAUCCUCAUCUGUUCCCUAUGCCCACAGUUGGAUUGGAGUGGGGAGCACUAGAAUCUCCAAGGUGAUCAUAUAUUCAAGUGAAGGAGACUUGAGGAAAAGUUUUUCGACGAAACGGGAAGUGAGAUUGGAAAGGCUUAAGGAGCGUGAAAGGUACUGACGACAGGUUCGCUGAUCCACACGUUUAGGAUCCUAUUUCUGCUAUUUGGGGCGCUCUCUUCUACAGAGCCCAUCUUUUGGUACAGUCUGUCACUGCUAUCUGGAUAUGUACUUUGUUCAGGGUAUGACGGGGCCCUGUCCCGUCUUAUGAUUAUGAUAUGUUCUGUAGAGGUCUGUGGAUACAUCUGUGUGGGUUCUGUACAUAUGUUUGGGAUAUUCUGUUCUGUGAUGGCCUUAUCGGCCUAUGUGUGCCAAGUCUGCUUUUCUGCUAAG